CAGUCGCCGCGGUAAUACGUAGGUGGCAAGCGUUGUCCGGAAUUAUUGGGCGUAAAGGGCUCGCAGGCGGUUUCUUAAGUCCGAUGUGAAAGCCCCCGGCUCAACCGGGGAGGGUCAUUGGAAACUGGGAAACUUGAGUGCAGAAGAGGAGAGUGGAAUUCCACGUGUAGCGGUGAAAUGCGUAGAGAUGUGGAGGAACACCAGUGGCGAAGGCGACUCUCUGGUCUGUAACUGACGCUGAGGAGCGAAAGCGUGGGGAGCGAACAGGAUUAGAUACCCCAGUAGUCCCUGUCUCUUAUAC
rnacentral:rRNA from 1 species